UACGUAGGGUGCGAGCGUUGUCCGGAAUUAUUGGGCGUAAAGGGCUCGUAGGCGGUCUGUUGCGUCUGGAGUGAAAACUCGGGGCUUAACCCCGAGCCUGCUUCUGAUACGGGCAGACUAGAGGUAUGCAGGGGAGAACGGAAUUCCUGGUGUAGCGGUGAAAUGCGCAGAUAUCAGGAGGAACACCGGUGGCGAAGGCGGUUCUCUGGGCAUUACCUGACGCUGAGGAGCGAAAGUGUGGGGAGCGAACAGG
rnacentral:rRNA from 1 species